GGUGAGCUGGCCGAGUGGCUGAAGGCGCGCCCCUGCUAAGGGCGUAUAGGAGAAAUUCUAUCGAGGGUUCGAAUCCCUCGCUCACCGCCA
rnacentral:tRNA from 1 species